CCACGUGUUUCAUACCUACACUUCUGAUGCCCAAUAAUGAAACCGAAAAACAAUAGAAAAAUAGAAAAAAUCCUGUGAAAGCAUGUAAAGAUGCAUAUUUUCUUGAUUUAAAUAGAGCUUCAUUUUUGAGGCAUUCAUUCAUCAGAAAGGAAAACAAAACUAAGAAGUAGAAAGAAAGAAAGAUUAUCUAUUGCAUUAUGGGCAAGAGUAUUAAGAUUUUCUUCCUAUUCAUUGUUCUGCUAUUUGUCUCCACUGCCCUCACAAGUGGGUCGACGCUUAAAUGUAAGAAAGGUGAAGUUAAGACACAACUGCUAUACAUCCGAUGUGGUCUUUCAUGUAAGCAGAUAUGUGCGUCCAAUAAGCAAUGCCGAAAUACUGGUUGCGAAAAAGUUUCAUCGUCUCCUGAUGAGCCUGCAUCUGAUCAAUGUGUGAUAUGCCAGACUACAAAAAAGCAAGGCUUAAACGCCAUAGUCGUUUAACUGCUAGUUAGUUGCUUUCUCUCGGUCGUGUUUUGCUUGUAAUCUUGAAGAUCCCUGUGUUACAUUAAUAAAGUAACUUGUUUCGGUUUCAUUAAUACUGAAGUUUCUGAAUUAAAUAUGUUUCGAUUUCGCACCAUAUAAUCAGAUUUACAGAACAAACCUUGCUUCUGCUU